CCCUCCAAAAAUAGGCGUAAGCCACUUGGCGUGGAGAGCACACGGUAUUCUUUAGUAAAAGGCGAAAGAAUAGUUCGCUUUGUGCUCACCACAUAGCUGCGAAAUUUGAAUCUGAGGGAGAGUGAAGUCUAUUUAUAUAAAAGUUUCCACUAUCAAACUCUCUUACCCUUCCGAUGUGGGAUGCGUGAAACUUCUUGGUAAAAGGCUUCGUGGGAUAUUCAAGCCCAUUACCAUUUUU